rnacentral:rRNA from 1 species
GACGAACGCUGGCGGCGUGCUUAACACAUGCAAGUCGAACGGAGAGACCCUGCUUUUGUGGGGUGCUCGAGUGGCGAACGGGUGAGUAACACGUGAGUAACCUGCCCUUGACAUUGGGGUAACUUCAGGAAACAGGGGCUAAAACCCGAUAGAAGCUCCUGCUGCAUGGUGGGGUUUGGAAAGUUUAGGCGGUUGGGGAUGGACUCGCGGCUUAUGAGCUUGCUGGUGGGGUAGGGGCUUAACAAGGGUUCGAAGGGUAGACGGCCUCAGAGGGUGACCGGCCACGAUCGAACUGAGACACGUAUCAGAACCCUACCUUGAGCAGCGGGCGAAACAUUUUCAGAAUCGGCGGAAGCCUGAUCCAGCAACUUUGUGAGCGGAACGAUGGCUUAUGGGGUAAAAACCGAUUUCGACUGCGACGAGGCCUGCGUGACGGUAAGUCGUAAAGAAGCACCGGCUAACUACGUG